rnacentral:rRNA from 1 species
GGGGAAUAUUGGACAAUGGGCGAAAGCCUGAUCCAGCCAUGCCGCGUGAGUGAUGAAGGCCCUAGGGUUGUAAAGCUCUUUUGUCCGGGAAGAUAAUGACUGUACCGGAAGAAUAAGCCCCGGCUAACUUCGUGCCAGCAGCCGCGGUAAUACGAAGGGGGCUAGCGUUGCUCGGAAUUACUGGGCGUAAAGGGUGCGUAGGUGGAUUCUUAAGUCAGGGGUGAAAUCCCGGGGCUCAACCCCGGAAUAGCCUUUGAUACUGAGGGUCUUGAGUUCGGGAGAGGUGAGUGGAACUGCGAGUGUAGAGGUGAAAUUCGUAGAUAUUCGCAAGAACACCAGUGGCGAAGGCGGCUCACUGGCCCGAUACUGACACUGAGGCACGAAAGCGUGGGGAGCAAAC